GGCCUGGUCGCCAAGUGGUAAGGCAUGAGUCUGCAAAACUCAUAUACGUGGGUUCGAUUCCCAUCCAGGCCUCCA
rnacentral:tRNA from 1 species